ensembl:lncRNA
UGAGGCUAUUGUAUUUCAUUCAAUAGCCCAUAUGUAGAUUUGUUGUGAAGGAUAAAAUGUUCCCUCUUCAAACACCAACAAUAGGAGCGCAGUGUACCGCUGACCUUGUGCGUCGCCGUGCUGUGUGCAGGUAACAAUGCGAGCACAGGCUGUAGGCUCUCAGAACACACAACUGCUUGGCUUGAAUAGCAGGGAAUUCUUCCACUGCACAUGUGCCGAUAUUUGCCUGCGUAUGGGGUACAAUUAGUCACAGUUCUUGAAGGUUUGAAUGAAUGCCUCUGAUUUCUAACUGUCCUGGAGAAAAAAAAAAAAAAAGUUAUUCUUAAUUUGCCAUGCAUGAAUAUUUAGGUUUAAAAUAUUUUGAAACCAAAGGCUCCCACUGCUCUUUGUGUAUGGGCCCACGUGCUUCCAGCAUCGACUGUGUUGUAAAGUCUGUGGGCUUCCUUCUCUCCCCCAGGAGCAGUUGUAUUUCUAAAUGGGAACAGUCGGCAUCCACGCAGCCUUUUAAAUCUAGUGUUUCUAGUUAUGGGUGAUGUGAGUGUUGCUGAUAACCUGUAAAACGUUUUCAUAACACAUGAGAUGCAAAAAGAUUAGCUGAACUUAGGAAGGUGUUUAUUCCAUCCUGUUGGUACGUGGACGGAGCGCUGUAGCAGAAAUGCUAAGUCAUGGCUUGAAGCAGUGAUGGAGCACCUGGUGGGAAGGCAGGGCCAACCCAGGGGAGCUCAGCUGCAUGCAGUGCACCUGAGUGACCAGAAGGGGUGGAGCCAGGAUCCACCCUUCCCAGACCUCAUGUAAGGGUUGGUAAGUGGAGGGGAGAGUAUCUUGCUGGGGAUCUCUGUGUACCUGAGGCUUUCUGAAGGUAAUCAGAUUUUCUUCCUUUGUUUCUGCAUCCAUGGCUGCUGCAAUUGGACUUGUCCUCAUUUGCUGCAGCCUGGGAUUGUGCCAUGCUGUUAUUACUGCUGCACUUUCCAUCACAUUACAGUAUUACAAGUGCACUAAUAGAGAUGUUCUCCAGUGGGAUGGGAUUCCCCCUCAUUGCAUUAACCAUCUGAGAGUUGACAGGAAUGAGCUUGUGCUGGCUACCUGCAAGCUUCUGCAGACCCUGCCCACGUGUGGGCCAUCCAGCAGAAUUUCCCCAGCUCAGAUGCAGUCUGUGGUGGAGCUUGGGUACCUGCUCUCAACCCUCAGUAGCGGUGACGGGGGAAGAAACAGGCAAGGGAAAAAUAUAUGUCGCAGGCAGGAGAAGGACCUGGGACAAGCAUUGCCUGUGCAGAUCUGGGGAUCACUCAUAAGUCUGGCCUCCAAGACAGAAGAUGGCCUAAUGCCUCAUUAAAUCCUACCGAGCCAAGGGUGAUGUAUCAUACCCUUUCAAUCUUCAACUAAGUAACGCAGUUUAAAAAAAAAAAACUAAUUUGCACAUGUU